rnacentral:lncRNA from 1 species
UUGAAGUUAGUUUGCAAUCAGAUUGUUCCUUGCUAGCUGCACAUGUGAUAUAUCAACAAGUACCUUUGUUGCAGUCUCCCACCACUCCAAGGUUGCAGUAGGCCACCCAUUUUCAUCACGGCCUAAACCACUGUCGGAAUGGAUGUCUUUUAUGAACUGGUACAUUCCCUUGAGCUGCCUAAUCCUAUUAGAUAUCUGUUUCCUAUCAUGCCUCAGCCCUGAACCACAAUAAUAUUUUUCUAUGACAAGCUUGUACCCUCUUGCUGUCAUACUACCUUUAAUGUAGUUACCCAACUCAAUUUGCUCAACAAGUAAUUGACACAAUAGGUUGUUAUUCUGCUCUGUUGUCCAACUUCCCCUGUCCAUUUUAUUCUACCAUAUACAUCACAAGAAAAAUAACAUCAGAACUCCAGUACACAUGCAUAAUCUAUCUCUUAAGUAAUACACUAAGGUCGCUGUUAGUCUAGCAACAAAAAUGUAGCUACAAAUCCAUAUCCAUCACUUGUUACCAUCUAAUUUGCAUAUAUGCAACCCCUUAUUGUACCUCUGUACCCCC